CCAAGGCUAAAUACUCCUGACUGACCGAUAGUGAACCAGUACCGUGAGGGAAAGGCGAAAAGAACCCCGGCGAGGGGAGUGAAAAAGAACCUGAAACCGUGUACGUACAAGCAGUGGGAGCACAGAGCAAUCUGUGUGACUGCGUACCUUUUGUAUAAUGGGUCAGCGACUUAUAUUCUGUAGCAAGGUUAACCGAAUAGGGGAGCCGAAGGGAAACCGAGUCUUAACCGGGCGUUAAGUUGCAGGGUAUAGACCCGAAACCCGGUGAUCUAGCCAUGGGCAGGUUGAAGGUUGGGUAACACUAACUGGAGGACCGAACCGACUAAUGUUGAAAAAUUAGCGGAUGACUUGUGGCUGGGGGUGAAAGGCCAAUCAAACCGGGAGAUAGCUGGUUCUCCCCGAAAGCUAUUUAGGUAGCGCCUCGUGAAUUCAUCUCCGGGGGUAGAGCACUGUUUCGGCAAGGGGGUCAUCCCGACUUACCAACCCGAUGCAAACUGCGAAUACCGGAGAAUGUUAUCACGGGAGACACACGGCGGGUGCUAACGUCCGUCGUGAAGAGGGAAACAACCCAGACCGCCAGCUAAGGUCCCAAAGUCAUGGUUAAGUGGGAAACGAUGUGGGAAGGCCCAGACAGCCAGGAUGUUGGCUUAGAAGCAGCCAUCAUUUAAAGAAAGCGUAAUAGCUCACUGGUCGAGUCGGCCUGCGCGGAAGAUGUAACGGGGCUAAACCAUGCACCGAAGCUGCGGCAGCGACACUGUGUGUUGUUGGGUAGGGGAGCGUUCUGUAAGCCUGUGAAGGUGUGCUGUGAGGCAUGCUGGAGGUAUCAGAAGUGCGAAUGCUGACAUAAGUAACGAUAAAGCGGGUGAAAAGCCCGCUCGCCGGAAGACCAAGGGUUCCUGUCCAACGUUAAUCGGGGCAGGGUGAGUCGACCCCUAAGGCGAGGCCGAAAGGCGUAGUCGAUGGGAAACAGGUUAAUAUUCCUGUACUUGGUGUUACUGCGAAGGGGGGACGGAGAAGGCUAUGUUGGCCGGGCGACGGUUGUCCCGGUUUAAGCGUGUAGGCUGGUUUUCCAGGCAAAUCCGGAAAAUCAAGGCUGAGGCGUGAUGACGAGGCACUACGGUGCUGAAGCAACAAAUGCCCUGCUUCCAGGAAAAGCCUCUAAGCAUCAGGUAACAUCAAAUCGUACCCCAAACCGACACAGGUGGUCAGGUAGAGAAUACCAAGGCGCUUGAGAGAACUCGGGUGAAGGAACUAGGCAAAAUGGUGCCGUAACUUCGGGAGAAGGCACGCUGAUAUGUAGGUGAAGUCCCUCGCGGAUGGAGCUGAAAUCAGUCGAAGAUACCAGCUGGCUGCAACUGUUUAUUAAAAACACAGCACUGUGCAAACACGAAAGUGGACGUAUACGGUGUGACGCCUGCCCGGUGCCGGAAGGUUAAUUGAUGGGGUCAGCGCAAGCGAAGCUCUUGAUCGAAGCCCCGGUAAACGGCGGCCGUAACUAUAACGGUCCUAAGGUAGCGAAAUUCCUUGUCGGGUAAGUUCCGACCUGCACGAAUGGCGUAAUGAUGGCCAGGCUGUCUCCACCCGAGACUCAGUGAAAUUGAACUCGCUGUGAAGAUGCAGUGUACCCGCGGCAAGACGGAAAGACCCCGUGAACCUUUACUAUAGCUUGACACUGAACAUUGAGCCUUGAUGUGUAGGAUAGGUGGGAGGCUUUGAAGUGUGGACGCCAGUCUGCAUGGAGCCGACCUUG
rnacentral:rRNA from 1 species